ACGUUGGUGUUUAGUUUGUGUGCUUGUGGCCAUCAUGCGAUAAAUGAAGGAUGGGAGGUCCCCUGUUCCCUACAAAUUGAGUUAGCAAAAGAGAAGGGCCAACCAUUGAAGAUAAGCAAAGCCACUAUGAGAAACCAAAUCGGACACGUGUCCACCUGAUAUUUCAUUCUUGAUUUUCCUCAAAAAUAACAGUUUUCGGUUCUCGUCUUGGAAGUCUCUCAAAAGGGUGGUUGGAAUUUUGAGCUGUGGUGCUUUCAAAUUGACAAAGUACCAACUUUUAUCCUCAAUUUUCAACAAGGAAAAAGUUUGCUUCAAGAAAAAAAAAAAAAAAAUCAAUGGCGACUGCUUCUUCUUUGGGUUCAUCAACUCUGUUACAAUCCCAAAUUAGUGGAUUUGGCGGGAGUCAAAAGCUUCAAAAGAUUUCUUUCUCCAACCCCAAUUCACUCACUUUCACCAGGAGGAGAAUUCAAACUGUGGUGAACGCUUCUUCUCGGGUGGAUAAGUUCUCAAAAAGUGACAUUAUUGUUUCUCCGUCCAUCCUUUCUGCUAACUUUUCUAAAUUAGGAGAGCAGGUGAAAGCAAUUGAGCAGGCAGGCUGCGACUGGAUUCAUGUAGAUGUGAUGGACGGUCGAUUUGUUCCAAAUAUAACUAUUGGACCCCUUGUAGUUGAUUCCUUGCGCCCUAUCACAGAUCUACCAUUGGAUGUGCAUCUGAUGAUUGUCGAACCUGACCAGAGAGUACCUGACUUCAUAAAAGCAGGUGCUGAUAUUGUCAGUGUUCACUGUGAGCAAUCUUCUACGAUCCACUUGCAUCGUACAAUAAAUCAGAUUAAAAGUUUGGGAGCAAAAGCUGGGGUUGUCCUCAAUCCUGGAACCCCUUUAACCGCAAUUGAAUAUGUCCUUGAUGCUGUUGAUCUGGUGUUGAUUAUGUCUGUAAACCCUGGAUUUGGGGGACAGAGCUUCAUUGAGAGUCAGGUCAAGAAAAUCUCGGACUUGAGAAAAAUCUGCGCUGAGAGGGGAUUAAACCCUUGGAUUGAAGUUGAUGGUGGAGUUGGUCCCAAAAAUGCUUACAAGGUCAUUGAAGCUGGAGCCAAUGCCUUGGUAGCUGGUUCUGCUGUCUUUGGAGCUCCUGAUUAUGCUGAAGCUAUUAAAGGGAUCAAGACAAGCAAAAGGCCUGAAGCAGUUGCUGUAUGAGAUUUCUGUGUAUGUUCAUCGUCACAACUGUUAAUACAGAGUUGUUUUUGUAUGACAGAGCGAUACGUAGUAGCAAAGCACAAAUAGUUGUGAGACUGCAAGCAUGGUUCACUCUGCAACCUACACAAAGAGGAUAAAUAAAAUAACCCACCUCUCCGAGGUUGUGUAAUACUCUCUAUGUUGUAUAACUUUUCUUGCAUAGGGAACAAGAUGAAUCUGUACUGAAUAUCCAAUUUUUUCAAGAUGACAUUUUAUAGAUGUUAAUGAGUUAGUGUCAAA